AUUGAACGCUGGCGGCAGGCCUAACACAUGCAAGUCGAACGCGUGGCGGACGGGUGAGUAAUAUCUGGGAAACUGCCCGAUGGAGGGGGAUAUCUACUGGAAACGGUAGCUAAUACCGCGUACACUCGGAUGUGCCCAGAUGGGAUUAGCUUGUAGGUGAGGUAACGGCUCACCUAGGCGACGAGCCCUAGCUGGUCUGAGAGGAUGACCAGCCAAACUGGAACUGAGACACGGCCCAGACUCCUACGGGAGGCAGCAGUGGGGAAUAUUGCACAAUGGGCGCAAGCCUGAUGCAGCCAUGCCGCGUGUAUGAAGAAGGCCUUCGGGUUGUAAAGUACUUUCAGCGGGGAGGCGUUACCCGCAGAAGAAGCACCGGCUAACUCCGUGCCAGCAGCCGCGGUAAUUC
rnacentral:rRNA from 1 species